rnacentral:rRNA from 1 species
UAGGGAAUAUUGGACAAUGGAGGGAACUCUGAUCCAGCCAUGCCGCGUGAACGAUGAAGGCGCUAUGCGUUGUAAAGUUCUUUUAAGUGGGGCGAAAAAGGGGUGUUUACACUCAACUGACGGUACCACUGGAAUAAGCACCGGCUAACUCCGUGCCAGCAGCCGCGGUAAUACGGAGGGUGCAAGCGUUAUCCGGAAUCACUGGGUUUAAAGGGUGCGUAGGCGGAAGGAUAAGUCAGAGGUGAAAUGUGCUCGCUUAACGAGUAAAUUGCCUUUGAAACUGUUUUUCUUGAAUCGAGAUGAGGUAUGCGGAAUGAGACAUGUAGCGGUGAAAUGCAUAGAGAUGUCUUAGAACACCAAUUGCGAAGGCAGCAUACUGGGCUUGUAUUGACGCUGAGGC